GCGCUCUUGGCGUAGUGGUAGCGCGUGUCUCUCCUACCUUCUGCCGUGAGCGCUGCAAGCGUUGUAGGAUGCAAAGACGAGGUCGUGGGUUCGAUCCCCACAGGGCGCU
rnacentral:tRNA from 1 species